rnacentral:lncRNA from 1 species
CGAGAAGGGCGGAGAAGUGAAACGCUAAGACUUUGAUUGGUGAGACACCCUUACACUGGGCUUCCGAGAACGGCCAUUAUACUGUUGCGGAGACACUCCUUGAGAAGGGCGGAGAAGUGAACGCCAAGACUAAGGAUGGACAGACAGCAAUGCACAAGGCAGCUUUGAAGGGACACACGGCAGUGCUGGAAGUCCUUCGGGAGGGCGGGGCCGACGUGAACGCUGCAGAUGAUUAUGGCAACACGCCCCUUCACAG